GGCGGCAUAGCCAAGUGGUAAGGCAGAGGUCUGCAAAACCUCCAUUCCCCAGUUCGAAUCUGGGUGCCGCCU
rnacentral:tRNA from 5 species